rnacentral:lncRNA from 1 species
AACUCUUCUCAUCUCUACAGCCUCCAUAAAAAUAUAAUUUACCACCUUUUGAGCACCUGCUCUGUGUUAUUUAGACUUUGUGGCAACUCCAUGAGGGUAACUAUGCUCUGAUUGACAGUGAGAGGAAAAAACACUUUCUUCCUUACCCCUUGAGUUUGACUGGACUUCCCUCCUGGCUCAGCCGGUAAAGAAUCCGCUUGAGUUUGAUUACUAGGUUUUUUUCUGGUUUUAUUUGUUAAGCAAGCCUUCUGAA